GCCUCUCCAUCCCUCAGACUCUUCUGGAGCGGUGCCAUUGGCUGUGCCCUCUGCCUGUCUCCAGGGUCUUCAUGAAUCACCAGUCUCAGAAAAGCAGGUGCUGGAGAACCUGCAGCCCAAGUCUACAGCAGUUUAGAUGGCAGCUUUUCCUGGGGUUCAGGAGCCUGCUCUGAAGAUUGGGCCAAGGCCCUGGGGAUACUCAUGGCCCAAUCUAUCUUUUCCUUCAGUCCGAUCCAGAAUUCAGAUUUCCAACCGUCUGAACUCGGCAUAGAUCAUCAGCAGAUCCAACAAAAGGAGCAUGGGAACAUUUUCUAUCCCUUUCAAACCUCCAACCGCUCUGUCCCGCACUCUCCUUCAUCUCCUAAUUUAAAUGGAAAAAAAUAGACAUUGGCAGCCAGGAAACACCUUCGUUUUCCUUCCAAAUCCACUAACCUAUUUUCAUCUGUGUUUAUCUUUCUUCCCUCUUGUCACAAGGCAGAAGGGCAGCGACCCUUCGCAUGGGGGGAGGCCAGUCUUCCCUUGUGAGUUCCCGAUCCCAUCCCCAGGCCGUCUCAGAGACCCUGCCCCACUGCUUAGCCCCUCUGCUCCCUGAAUCCUGUCACUGCCUCUCUAACGGGACCUUGCCAUCAGCAUCCGAACAGUGCCUCCUUUCUGACCGUCCCUAUCCACAACACACUCUGUCCUCUUCACAGUCAAGCCCUUUGAAGAGCAGACACCUGCCCACACGCGCUGCCUCCACCUCCCCACCUUGGAGUCACCUUCCACUCUUCCCAUUUGGUGAGGUGCUGUGCUGGGUGUUGGGGAUACAACAAGACUGCAGACACAGCCGCCCUGCCUCCCAGAGCUUAGUGUCUAAUGUGGGAGACUACAGGCAACUUCAGCUUAGUGGAAUAACUGUCAGCAGAGGAGGAACAGGCACCUGUGAGCACACGGGCUAGAUCCCACCCAACCUCCAAAAAAAGGUUUCCAGAUUGUGUGGCUUGGAACCUGAGCUCUGAAAAGAGAGAAUAACCAGAGGAAGAGCUGAAAAUCCCGGAGAACACCAACAUUAACAAGCUUCAGUUUGUCAGAACCAGUUGGGAUGCAACAGGAUUUUCAGUUUUGCUGUCUUCCAUGCAUGAAUGGCUUCUGUUAGGUUGGAAUGACCAAGAUGAUUUUUCCACCCAUUCUUGGGACCUGGACUAUGAUGGCCACAGCAGCUAAAGAUGCCAGGUUCUGCAUACUAUGAAACUACUACAUCAGCAGGUCCAAAGGACUCCACUAACUCAACUGAUCUGAGGGACCCCAUGAGAAGCCUACUCAUCAAAGAAUGCAGUUUCUAAAUCCUGAUGAGUUCACCCCCCUUCCCCUGACCAAUCAACAACCCUAAUUCUCCAGUCCCUUGCCCUCCAUGAUCCUCUUAAAAACCCUAGCCCAGAAUUCCUCAGGAAGAUGGAUUUGAGGGUCUCCUUCCAACUCCUCACUCAGUGCCCUGUGGUCAUUAAACUUUCUCUGCUGCA